rnacentral:tRNA from 1 species
GCCCAGGUGGCGAAAUUGGUAGACGCGCUAGUUUCAGGUACUAGUGUCGCAAGACGUGGAGGUUCAAGUCCUCUCCUGGGCACCA